rnacentral:hammerhead_ribozyme from 1 species
AUCCAACUGACGAAUCCCAAACAGGACGAAACGCGCGUCCUGGAU